GCAGUGGUGGUUCAGUGGUAAAGUUCUUGCCUUCCGCGUGGGAAACCUGGGUUUGAUUCCCAGCCGAUACA
rnacentral:tRNA from 1 species